CCGUGAGAGAACGGAGAAGCGGAGAAACCGACCCGUCUCCGCCUCAUCCACCGCUCCGCCACGAUGCUCGCGACCGCCGCCCCGCGCCUCCGCGCCGCCGCGUGGGGCAGCCUCUCGCCGCCGGCGCCAGUGCGGGCGCAGUUCGUGAGUCUCCCGCUCAGUCUCCCCGGCCGCUACGCCUCGCUGCGCCUGCGCGCCUCGGCGGCGGCGGCGGCGAAGGAAGGGGCGGAGGAGAUGGGGUUCGAGGAGAUGGCGGCCGGGACGCGGAGGCGCUACUACAUGCUCGGCGGGAAGGGCGGGGUCGGGAAGACGAGCUGCGCGGCGUCGCUGGCCGUGCGCUUCGCCAACAACGGGCACCCCACCCUCGUCGUCUCCACCGACCCCGCGCACUCCCUCAGCGACUCCUUCGCGCAGGAUUUGAGCGGCGGGGCGCUCGUGCCGGUCGAGGGGCCUGAGGCGCCAUUGUUUGCGCUUGAGAUAAAUCCUGAGAAAGCCCGAGAAGAGUUUCGUGCAGCAAGUCAGAAGAAUGGAGGGACUGGGGUAAAGGACUUCAUGGAUGGCAUGGGACUGGGAGUGCUUGCUGAGCAGCUGGGGGAGUUAAAACUGGGGGAGUUAUUGGACACACCACCACCAGGAUUGGAUGAAGCAAUAGCGAUUUCAAAGGUUAUGCAAUUCCUUGAAGCACAAGAGUAUAGCAUGUUUAGACGCAUUGUUUUUGACACUGCUCCAACGGGCCAUACACUCCGUUUAUUAUCCUUGCCAGAUUUCCUGGAUGCAUCUAUUGGGAAGAUCUUGAAGCUUAGGAGCAAGAUCGCUUCUGCAACAUCAGCUAUUAAAUCAGUUUUUGGACAAGAAGUUCAACAGCAGGAUGCAGCAAACAAAUUGGAGCAGCUGAGAGAAAGGAUGGUCCAAGUGCGAGAACUUUUUCGUGACACAGAAUCAACUGAAUUUAUAAUUGUGACUAUUCCAACAGUAAAGAUUCUGUGUGAUGGCAAUAAGUGAAUCAGCAAGACUACAUUCUUCCCUAAGAAAUGAAAGUGUUCCCGUUAAGAGACUCAUUGUUAACCAAAUUCUACCACCUUCGUCAUCAGACUGUAAAUUCUGUGCUAUAAAAAGAAAGGAUCAAACACGUGCUUUGGAUAUGAUAAGGAAUGAUCCAGAGCUAAUGGGGCUGAACUUAAUCCAAGCACCUCUUGUCGACAUGGAAAUAAGAGGCGUUCCUGCUCUGAAGUUUUUGGGCGAUAUAGUAUGGAAGUAACUUCACAAUGGAAAAUACGAUAAACUUCAUCACACCUACUUAUUGAAGUGCUUUGCAAUGCAAACUUUGGUAGCUGCAAGUAUCAGCAUGGAUAGAGCUAGAAUGCAAGUGUGCAACUUAGCAGAUGCCCAAUCUCAUGUGAGUAAGUAGCAUCUCGCUGAAGGUUUGCCGGAAUAGCAUAUACUAGGGGGAUUGUGUUCUAAAAAAAAAGGGGGGGGGAUUGGAUCAAGCUGCACUAAUAUCAAGUCCAUUGAGGCAACAUGCCGGUGAUAUUUCUGCUUCUUUAUCCCUUUAAUAGGAGCGAUUCUGAGGGUUUUGAGUCCAUAACUUUGCACUAAAAUUAAUUUUGUUCGUGCAUCAUGUAAAGUCGGUUAGAGAAUGAAGAAUGGAGAAAAUCAGACAACACUUUUAAGUAAAUUUUCUUACAGAUUAGUGUGACUUAAAUGUAAAUAGACAAUAUUGACAAGACAGCUGCAGCAGUUGAGAUUUUAAUUUAA